AAGUCGUAACAAGGUUUCCGUAGGUGAACCUGCGGAAGGAUCAUUAACGAAUUGAAACGAGAGGGGUUGUCGCUGGCACUCGGAAACGGGUUGCAUGUGCACGCCUCGCUCGCCCAACUCUACACCUCUGUGCACUUCUCAUGGGUCGGGUCUGCAGCCUCCGGGCGAACGGUCCCCGGCCUGUGUGCUUUUACAUACGCAUGUUUGUCUUAGAAUGUUACCUGUGCAUGAAUGCAUAUAAAUACAACUUUCAGCAACGGAUCUCUUGGCUCUC
rnacentral:misc_RNA from 1 species